AGGUAAUAUGAAAUGAGGGCUAAACAAUGUAAUAUAACUGCCAGUUAAGGUAGACAGUAGUUGUGGUCUUAGUUACAUUUGAUAUGGAGUUGUGUAAUAUUAAGCAGAUCCCAGUGGAGUUAGUAAAAACAUAGGUAUUGAGUUUUAAUGGCUACCAAUUGGGAUAUAUACUUAGCCUGCAGGCUGAACUUUAGUCAGUGUUUUUCUAUCAUGUUGUUUUGUGAACAAGUCAAAAUUUAUACAAAGCUACCCUAAGUGCUGCAAUUGCAGAGGAACUUGCCUCUUCGUGAUAUUAGAGGGCAGUCCAACUCCGCUCAAACUGAGUCCAAGAUUUGAAUUCAUCCAGAAAAACAAAUGGAGGAGAAAAGCCUAAUGCACCACAUGUGUUUGGCAUUUCAUGGCUGGGACAAUGGAGUAGAGGGUAGGAAGACAAGCUGUAGAACAAAAGCAAAGUGAGGUAGAAAGUAACAGGUCCCAGACGAGGACAGACUUAGAGAUGUGUAACCUUGGAUCCUCUUUUUCACUUAGAAUAUGGGUAAACUUCUUAGCACAAGACUGGAUUAAGAGAAGUUCUUUCUGUUAAACUCACCUAGGGUAGUGGCUUUGAAGGCCUCAGAGGAUUAAUAGAUUCCCAAAAUUUUCUUCCAGACCUGGGAGAUGGAGAGAAAGAGGUUCUUGCUUUAAAGCGGCUCGAAGACAAUCUUUAUGACUUCAGCAACUCUUCAACAUAGUAGCACCAAUAAAGGAGAGAUUAUGUUAACUUCCUAGUGGUGAGAAUACCAUGGGAUGGGAGAAGGGCCAGUGAGUGGGAUGGGAAUGAGCUUCAUCAGGAACAGAUUUCAGACUCUGCAGGGUGCACCGGUUCUAGCCUCAAAUAACAACAUUGCAAGGAGGUGGACUACAGGGUCCACACCCUCUGUCCUUCGGGGCCCAUGGUCAGGCCAUUCCCUCUUUGUUUUGCUCCUAGAGGAUGAGCAUGUAAGAUGAGAUCAGGAGGGAAAUUGGGUGCUCUGCCUCAGGCUGUUAAAAUGCUGCUACCUGCAUUCUAAAACGUGCAAGUCAUGCCCCACAAGACACCUCCUUAGGGCAGCAUCCACUGUGGUGUGCCAGCCUGACACCCCUGCAGUCACGGUGUUUGAAUGGCAGCUGAUGCUGGCCCACCCAGAGUAUCGGUGCAUCUCUCCUAAAGCCACAGUUCAGCACUGCAUGUUGACCAGGCGGAUAUCCUAUAAUAUAGAUGCUCGUUUGGAUCCAAAAGGAAAACCAUUAAAAAUAAAAGAAAGAUGAAAAACUUUAAUGUUUUGGGGGGGAUAAAAGAAAAGAAUAAAUAAAACCUUGUUGUAAAGAAAAAAAAAAAAAAAA
rnacentral:lncRNA from 1 species